rnacentral:lncRNA from 1 species
AACCUGGCUCUGAUACCAUAUGACUUUAGAGUAAUGAAGAGUAAUCUGAGUGUUUAGAAUAGAUUUGAGAGAGAUUAGAGACGAAACGAGUGUAGAGAGUAAGAGAUUUAGAUCAAGAGACUAAGAGACACGCCAUGGAGGCUAAGAAUAAUCAGAACUGUCUAAUCUUUAUUAUGGAUGAGGUUACAAUAUAUAUAGGAGAGACAUUAGGGCUUUCAAGUAAGGGAAAUGGCACUAGUCUAAGCAUGUGUAGUCAAGGUCAGAAAGUAACACACGCGUAUGGCUUUACAGCCUGUCCAAGAGCUGGAUAGAUAAGGCGCGCUCCAACCUUAUCCAUAAACGGUCUGAUCCGUUCCAAACCUUCCGCGUCUGAUGGUGGCUUUGCCUUCCAUCCUCCUUCUCCUUUACGUUCUCUUAUCUGUACGGUCAUACCCUAUCCGUACAUGCCAUGCCCUAACUUUGCACAACCUUUAAAUAGACUUUAAAGGUGAUUCAAGUCAUCAUGGUCGAGGUGAUCCGUACUGGCCGUACACUGGCCGUACCGUCCGUACACACGCCGUCCGUUCCCUCUCCCAUUACUCUCCUAACUCCUCCUCUCUUAUCAUAAUGGCUUCCUCAUCUCAAUACAUAUGAUCUUCGUACACUGCUCUCAUCUAAGCUUGUAAUGAAUGCACAAUGUUCCUUUGGGUAACUCGCAAAUGAGUCACAGCCUGAGAGGGAUGCUUCACAGCUUGAGCAUUGUAGUACACUCUCGUGUUUAUCCAGUUGGAAGCAUCUCUCUUCAGCCGUGUGCUUCUCCUUAAUGGGGCUUGUUCCACCUCCACCACCGUAGGCUGGACCACCGUAGGCUGAACUGCUUCUCUUUCUACUUCAUUUGGUUCCACAUGAUCUUCUUGUAUGGAUUCUUCCUCUCUUUGUAUCACACCUUGACCAUGACUAUCUGAGUCUUGAUCCUCAUGAUCUUCAGGCUCAGCCUCAUUUCCCCCCUCAUGAUCAUGGUGUGAUGGUUCUUCAGCUUCAUUCUCCUUUGAUGGUUGCUGAUCCUGGGACAUGUUGAUUCCAAGUCCUUCCAGUACACGCCUAAGACUUGUAGCUCGAUCAUAUGGUUGAGACAAAUCUUCAAGAUCUUCCCACUUUCUAUCUCCAUAAAAGCUCUUAUCCUCCAAGGACUUCACAUCUCUAGACACAAGAACUCUCCUGGCUUCUGAAUCAUAGCAUUUGUAUCCCUUUUGUGACGUUGAGUAGCCAAUGAACAUGGCUCUUGUGCUCUUUGCUUCUAGCUUAUUCCUUAGCUCCCCGGGUACAAGUACAAAGCACACGCAUCCAAAGACUCUUAAGUGAUCCAGCACAGGCUUGCUUCUGUUUAGAACUUCAUAAGGAGCUUGAUCUUCCAGGAUCUUGGUUGGUAUCCUAUUGAUUAGAUAACAAGCCGAGAUCACAGCAUCACUCCAGAAUCUCUUAGGCACACUUGUAUGAAACAUCAUAGACCUUGCCACCUCCAUUAGGUGUCUAUUCUUUCUCUCAGCUACACCGUUCUGUUGAGGAGUGUAUGGACAACUUGUCUGAUGUAGAAUCCCAUGUUGAGCUAGGUGACUCUUGAAUGCAUUGCCAGUAUAUUCUCCACCAUUAUCAGACCUGAAAAUUUUAAUCUUGGCAUUAUACUGGUUAGAUACAUAAGAUUGGAAGUUUUUAAAUGCAUCAAGAACCCUAUCCUUUGUUUUAAUGAGUGUUAUCCAGGUGUAUUUAGAUUUCUCAUCUAUAAAUGUGACAAAGUACUUGUAAUUAUCUCUAGAUAGGCAGGGAGCAGUCCAUACAUCAGAGUGAACAAGAUCAAAACACUUAUCAUAGAUAGUAGUAGAUCUUUUAAAAACAGUCUUACAAUGUUUUCCCAAAAUACAAGCCUCACAAUCAUUAUUUUUAAACAUGACACCUCGAAACAUUAAGCUUAAGGCUCUAACAUGUGGAUGUCCUAGCCUAGAAUGCCAUAAUGCACCUUUACUUAAAACAGAACUCAGCAAACAACUAGAAAUGGGGUUAAUGUCUUCAAGUACAUAAAGAUCCCCCUUGGUUACUCCUUGUCCGAUCAACUUAUUGCUCUCAAUAUCCUGAAAUGUCACAUUGUUAGGACUAAAGAUAACAUUGCAUUGUAGAUCAUUGGUACAUCUUUUAACAGAUAAGAGAUUAGAAGUAAAAUCAGGCAUGUAAAAUGCUUUAGAGUUCUUAUCAAAUAGCUUUAAGUCUCCUACACCUUUAAUGGGAAUUCUAUCUCCAUUUGCAAUCAUUACAUGUCCAUGAGCAGGUUCUAUGUUUUUGAUCAAGCUAUCAUCACUAAUCAUGUGAUGAGAUGCACCAGAGUCAACAAUCAAUGGUUUUAUGCCUCUAGCAAGAUGAGUUCUAGGUGAUUCAUUUCUCAGUUUUAAUUUCUCAAUGAUAUCUAUCAACCUAUUCUCAUUCCUAGGCAUCAUAUGAGCAGUAUAUGAGUAACCAAGAGUGUUUCCGAAUGUACCAGACUCCUUAAGAGCUUUGAUGAGGGCAUCAAUGUCAGAUUUGCGGAUCACUUCAUGCUCCAAACUCUUUGCGGCCGUGUAGUGAGUUGCCAUUGCCUUGCCUGCGCUUUCACCCACUUGUGCACUUGAGCCUGCUCCUGAUGGACCGGCUUCACUUACUUCAGUAGACAAGUUAGCUCUGGCUUCUCGAUCCUUGUUGAACUUGGCCGGCUUGAGAUGGGGAUGAAGGAUCCAGCACUGGCUCCUCUUGUGUCCCGGCUUCUUGCAGUGAUCACAUGGUGUAGCCAUGAGUAGAGACAUUGGAGAGCUGAGUGAGUCUGAUGAGGGAGAGCCAGACUUGAGAAGAGAAGAGCCAGACUUGAGCAGAGAAGAGCCAGACUUGAGCAGAGAAGAGCCAGACUUGAGAAGAGAAGAACCAGAGUUGAGCAGAGAAGAACCAAAUGAGCUAGCCAGCUUGUGGAGUGGACCAGUAACCAGAUCAAGAUUGAGAGCACAAGAGGAGAGGCUCCAGGAGAUAGCCAAAACCGUGGGCCUUGGUUCAAGGCAAGGAGAUCAAGAUAAACCAGCUUGUUGGUUUAAUUUAAUUACUUUGUAAGGGUUUGGUUAUUGGGCUUUCAUUUAAUUUAAACCAAAGACAAUUAGGAUUAGAAUUAGAAUUAAACCACCUUGGUUUAGCAUUAGGGUUUUCGAUUUUUACUUUAAGAACAUGGAGGCUGCAGCUUUGUUUUCUUAACUUUCAAUCUAAGAAUUAUUCAGUCAACGUUGUUGUCUUGUCUCUAGCUUUCUCUGUUCAGCUCUAGAACAUUGAUCUCACUUAAAGGAAGGAAUUCCUGUGAAUCCCAUCUUAGACAAUACAAGGUGAUCUUGUGUCUUUGAGUAGCAAACCAUCCUUGGCGCCAACCCACAGGCUCAGGGAGACGUUCAUAGUUCAAAGGAGAGCUAGUAGCCUCUUAGAACACCCUCUAUCCAUCCACCUUCAAGUGAUCCAGAGUUUAAGCCAUACCCAGGCUGCACCAAGUGGUAUCAGAGCUACUUGAAGGUUAGGGUUUGCGAUUUGACUACUCAGAUCAUUCAUUCCAUCAAACACUUCUCUUAUCUUUCUAUCUGUUGUAAGCCAGCUGAGCCAACCCUGCAAAUCAAAAAAAAAAAAAAGAAAAGAGAUCUCUGAUCCAAAUCAAAAAAAAAAAAUAUAUAUAUAUAGCUGAAGAGUAAUCCAGCUAGCUGAAGAGAAAUCCAGCUCAGGGUGGUAAAGUCAGCUGGUGCCUAAAUCUCUUAAUACUUUCUAUCUGAUUCAUUGGGGUUUUAGUUCUAGAUCUUAAGUGUAGAACUUUGUUUUUCAACUGAAAUUGUGGGAAGAGCUGAGACUUGGCGAUUUGAAAACUUGAGUGAGAGAGAGAUAAUUUUGUUCCUGGCUUUGUGUUUUCUCUAACUAUUUCAGGAACAAUGAGUGAAGAGAGGCGAGAUGGAAAGCAACCUGAGAGUUCAGGAGAACCGGCUGUCCAGCAAAUCAACCUCAACCAAGUUCAAUUUGAGGCUAUGAUAGCUGAGAUAACCAGAAGAAUGCAAAAUACUUACAACCGUGCUCAACAAGCUAAUGAAACUUUACCUGGUGAUAAUGCAGGGCAAGAGAGGGACGCGGUUGCUGCUGGAGCUCAGAGAGCACGCAUUGGACCUAUAAGAGGGCAACGAGUUGAGCUUAGGGGUCGUGGGAUUUAUGGAGAAUAUUAUCAAGAAGAGUCAGCUGAUGAAAGUGAUGAUGGAUCUCAGGCUAGUCAUCAUGGUAGAAAUCACAACCGCAGGCGACCAGCUACUGAUAACCUAGGCAAUCUCAAGCUUAGAAUCCCUCCAUUCCAUGGGAAGAAUGAUCCUGAUGCUUACUUAGAGUGGGAGAAGAAGAUUGAACUGGUUUUCAAUUGCCAACAGUUCAUCACUGAGGAGAGAAAAGUGAGACUAGCAGCUACUGAAUUCUGUGGUUAUGCUAUCAGCUGGUGGGAUCAGAUUGCUACUACCAGGAGACGCAAUGGAGAGCCUCAGGUAGCUUCCUGGUUUGAGAUGAAAACUGUGAUGAAGAAGAGAUUUGUUCCUAAUCACUAUGGAAGAGAUCUACACCAGAAGUUGAGAAGGCUUUCUCAAGGAUCUAAGAGUGUAGAGGACUAUCAUCAGGAGAUGGAAACACUCAUGUUGAAAGCUGACUUAGAAGAAGAAGUAGAAGCUACUAUGGCUAGAUUCCAAGGAGGUCUUAACAGAGAUAUACAAGAUAGGUUGGAGCUACAAGAGUAUGAGGACAUGGAUGAACUGCUACAUAAGGCUAUUUUGAUUGAGCAGCAGAACAAGAGAAAGAGCUCUACCCGGUCUUCAUACACUCCUGCUUCAAAACCGGCUUACUCCAAGGAAGAUAAGCCAGGGGAUAAGUCCAAAGAAGGUUCUUCUUCAGUGGAGACCAAGAGAGAUGACAAGGGUAAAGGAGUAUCCACACCUACUAAGACCAGGAACAUUAAGUGUUUCAAGUGUCAUGGUUUUGGUCACUAUGCUAAUGAGUGCACCAACAAGAAGGUGAUGACUAUCUUAGCCGACGGGGAGGUGAUAUCUGAAGAGGAGGACGCCGGCCAAGAGUCUGAUGAGGAAGGCGUGGAGUACCCUGUCCGUGGAGAGCUAUUGGUCACCAGGAGACUUCUCAAUGCUCAACCUAAAACCAAAGAAGAUGAGCAAAGGGAAAACUUGUUUCACACCAGAUGCUUGAUUCAAGAAAAGGUUUGUAGCUUGAUCAUUGAUGGAGGAAGUUGUACUAAUGUAGCAAGUGCUGAGUUGGUGGAGAAGUUGGAUCUUCUAGUGUUCAAGCAUCCUAAGCCAUAUCUGUUGCAAUGGAUCAAUGAUGAGGGAGGAUUAAAGAUCACCAAGCAAGUGAAGGUAUUGCUAUCAGUGGGAAAGUACCAGGAUGAGAUCACUUGUGAUGUAGCACCCCUGGAAGCUAGCCACAUCCUUCUUGGACGUCCAUGGCAGUAUGAUAAGAGAUCAGUACAUGAUGGCUUUACCAACAGAUACACUUUUAUUCAUAAGGAGAAACAAGUUACCCUGGCGCCAAUGACCCCUCAGGAGGUACACCAGGAUCAGUUGCAUCUCAAAAUGAAGAGAGGAGAGUCCAAGGCCGCCAGCAAGUCCUUGCUUCUUGAAGAGACCAGCCAGGUAAGUAAACUCAACCUCUUUGCUACUGCUAAAGAUAUCAAAACUGCUGUGAUUGAACAAUCAAAUUUUAUACUAGUAGUUUACAAAGAAUUGUUGAGCUCUACUACUAACCCUGCUCCUGAGAUUCCAGAGGAGAUUGAGUGUCUUUUGCAGGAGUAUAGAGAUGUGUUCCCAGAGGACAAUCCCAUAGGUCUGCCGCCUAUUAGGGGAAUAGAGCACCAGAUUGACUUUGUACCAGGAGCUACUUUACCAAACCGUCCAGCAUACAGGACCAACCCUGUGGAGACCAAGGAGCUUCAGAAACAAGUCAAUGAGCUAAUGGAGAAGGGACAUAUCAGGGAGAGUAUGAGUCCUUGUGCUGUACCUGUCCUUUUGGUGCCAAAGAAAGAUGGAAGCUGGAGGAUGUGUGUGGACUGCAGAGCCAUCAACAACAUAACAGUUAAGUACAGGCAUCCUAUUCCUCGCUUAGAUGAUAUGCUAGAUGAGCUACAUGGUUCAUGUGUCUUCUCUAAAAUUGAUUUAAAGAGUGGUUACCACCAGAUUAGAAUGAAAGAAGGAGAUGAGUGGAAAACUGCCUUUAAAACUAAGUUAGGAUUGUAUGAAUGGUUUGUGAUGCCUUUUGGGCUUACUAAUGCACCUAGUACUUUCAUGAGAUUGAUGAAUCACGUCUUGAGAGCUUUGAUAGGACGAUUUGUAGUUGUUUACUUCGAUGAUAUCCUGAUUUACAGCAAGACUAUGAAAGAACAUGUUAACCACUUGAAGCAAGUUCUAGAUGUGCUUAGAAAAGAAAAUCUGUAUGCUAACUAUAAGAAGUGCUCUUUUGGCACAGAUAACCUUGUCUUUUUAGGUUUUGUUGUGACUUCACAGGGCAUACAGGUUGAUGAGGAAAAGGUGAAAGCUAUCAGGGAGUGGCCGAUUCCUAAAUCUAUUGGAGAGGUCAGAAGUUUUCAUGGACUUGCUGGCUUCUACCGGAGGUUUGUGAGAGAUUUCAGUACAGUUGCAGCACCACUGACUGAAGUAGUCAAGAAGAGUGUAGGUUUCACUUGGGGACCAGCACAAGAAGAGGCAUUUCAAAUGCUAAAAGAGAAGUUAACAAGUGCUCCCUUACUUGCACUUCCUGACUUUUCUAAGACUUUUGAAAUUGAAUGUGAUGCAUCUGGUAUUGGAAUUGGAGCUGUGUUGAUGCAGGAUAAGAAACCCAUAGCUUAUUUCAGUGAGAAACUAGGAGGCGCCACCUUAAACUAUCCUACCUAUGACAAGGAGCUGUAUGCCUUGGUGAGAGCUUUACAAGUGUGGCAACAUUACUUGUGGCCUAAGGAGUUUGUGAUCCAUACAUAUCAUGAAUCCCUUAAACAUCUCAAAGGGCAACAGAAGCUGAACAAGAGACACGCCAGGUGGGUGGAGUUCAUUGAGACCUUUCCUUAUGUCAUCCACUACAAGAAAGGUAAGGAGAAUGUAGUGGCUGAUGCACUCUCCAGAAGGUAUACUCUUUUAUCUUCAAUGGAAACUAAACUCUUAGGAUUUGAACAUAUCAAAUCUUGCUAUGCUAAUGAUCCUGAGUUUAAAGAUGUGUUUAGAGAAUCUGAUAUGAUUUUAGAGAGUAGAAUAGGUAUUGAGAGAUUAAGAGAGAUUUGGUAAGAGAUUAAGAGAAGUUUAGAAGAGAUUGUGAGAGAAAUGGGGAGAUUAAGUAUGAUCCAUGAUGAACAAGAGAGAGACUAGAGAGAGAGUAACAUAACUCGCGUAAAUUCAUUAAUGAGAGAGUGUUUACAAUAUAUAGGAGUGAGACACUAGGGUUUAAGAAGAGACUAAGCAUGUGAGGUCAAGGCUAAGGGAGCCUUUAAUUUGAACCGGACCAAUGAGCCUCUCCACACGCGUGGUCACUAUGCUAAAAGUGAACCUUAUCCUUCCAGCCUGUGCCAGCCUGUAGAGACGCUCUUCCUCUAUCCAUAAACGGUCAUAUGCCUUCUUUGGUCAAGGCAAAACAUGAUCAGACCGUAAACUUCUUCUCGCGGUAACUCUUCUUUACCGCAUGGUCGAUACCGUCUGUACGGCCGUACGGCCAUGGUACGGACCUGUACGGACCGGUACGGACGGUUCUCCCUAAGGCCAAUCCUUCUCCUCUUCUCCACAUCACAACCUCUUCAACCCUGAACAACUCUCCUUAUAUUCCUUAGCUCAUCUCAACACUCCCCCUCAAGCUUGACCAUGUGGAACAAGUCAAGCUUGGAAGGAUCAUGAGCUCCUCCUCAUUAAAAACCUCAUCAAAGAAAACCCAUUGGGACAAAACUCUGAUGAGGGAAAAAGAGUAAGGACCUCAUGAUCAGGAGAGUGUAUAGAUCAGCCCUUAGGCGAAAGAUCAAGGAGUCCCAACCUUAUGUGAAUUGACUCCAUUGUCUUUUGCCUAGCCGCCUUAGUGAAUACAUCUGCCAACUGAUCCUCACUCCUUGUGUAGCACGGCAGUAUCACUCCCAAGACUAUCAUCUGCCUCACUUUAUGACAGUCCACUUCAAUAUGCUUGGUUCUUUCAUGGAACACCGAGUUUGUGGCUAUGUGAAUGGCUGCUUGAUUGUCACAGUGCAUGGUCAUUGGUGUUGCUUGCUCAAUCUCCAAGUGCUUCAGGAUUCCUUUAAUCCAUACCAACUCAUUUGUGAGCUUUAGCAUUGCUCUAUACUCAGCCUCGGCACUUGAGCAUGACACCACCUUCUGCUUCUUACUCUUCCAAGUAACCAUGUUUCCACCAAUGAAUGUGCAAUAGCCGGUUGUAGAUCUUCUAUCUGUUCUGUCUCCAGCCCAAUCUGCAUCACAAUAUCCCACUGCUUCAGUACUCCCGUUACAACCCAUCCAUAUACCAAGCCCUUGAGUUCCAUUCAGAUACAUGAGAACUCUUUCUACCAUGCGCCAGUGAUGCUCUCUUGGAGCUUGCAUAUGCUGACUCACUUGGUUCACAGCAAAACAGAUGUCUGGCCUAGUGAUGGUUAGAUAGAUCAGCUUCCCCACAAGCUUCCUGUAUAGCUUUGGAUCAUGAAACAUCUUACUAUCUUCUAGCUCCCCCUCACGUGGAGCUUUAUACCCAUCCUCCAUGGGCAUCUUGGCUGUCUUUCCUCCAUACGCACCAGCCUCCUUCAACAGAUCCAAGAUAUACUUCCUUUGUGAGAUGAACAACCCUUCUUCUGAUCUGCACAGCUCAAUUCCAAGGAAGUACUUCAUUUCUCCCAAGUCUUUGAUGUCAAACACAGAUUUCAGAAACUCCUUGGUCUCCUUGAUUCCCACCUUAUCACUGCCUGUGAUAACUAUGUCAUCCACAUAUACAGAAGCACAACAAUGCCUGCAGGUGUAGUAAGAGUGAAGAGAGUGUGAUCAAGCUCUGAUUUCCUGAAACCUCUUCCAUUUAGAGUUGUGCUCAGCUUGUGAUACCAUGCCCUUGGUGAUUGCUUUAACCCAUAGAUGGCCUUCUUCAAUCUCAGCACAUUCCCUGUUUCACCAUCCCUUCUAGGCCCGGAGGUGGUAGCAUGUAAACUUCAUCUUCUAACUCUCCUUGGAGAAAUGCAUUCUUAACAUCCAUCUGCCAAAGAUCCCACCCAAGGUUAGUAGCCACUGAUAGGACUAUUCGAAUGGUGUGAAGCUUUGCAACUGGAGCAAAUGUAUCAAUGUAGUCUUCUCCAUAAGUCUGAGUGAACCCUCUUGCUACCAGUCUAGUCUUCUUCCUCUCAAUCGACCCAUCAGCCUUGUACUUGACUGUAAAGAUCCAUCUACUAGACACAGCCUUCUUCCCUUUUGGUAGUUCACUCUCAUACCAAGUGUCAUUCUUUAUCAUAGCUCCUGCCUCAGCUCCUACUGAUUCCUUCCAUUCCUUAUCUUCCAUUGCCUCUUCAUAGCUUCUUGGAAUGUGAUUCUUAUCUAAGUUUACCAUAAAUGCACAAUGUGCUUCUGGAUAUUGAGCAAAGGAACACACGGCCUGAGUAGGAUGCUUCACAGCUUGGGCAUUGUAGUACACUCUCGUGUUUACCCAACUGGAAGGAUCCUUUCUCAGCCUUGUACUCCUUCUCAACACUGGCCCUUCUUGUGCCAUCUCUUGUUCUUCUUCUACUUGUGGAGUCACUGCUUCAGUCUGUUCUUCAGCUUCAGCUCUAGCCUCUCCUUGUCUCUGAUCUUCUUCAUUCAGUUCUCCCCUUUCUGAUCCUUCUCCACUUUGGACAGGAGAAUCAGUUCCUCUGUUUCCUAGCUCACCGGCCUCUUCUAAGCCUUGGUCCUCUAGUUCAGAUACUGAUUCACUUCCCCCCUCAUGUGCAAAGUGGGAUGGUUCUUCUGCUGCAGCUGGAGUAGGUUCUGGACGCCUACUCUGAUCCUGGGACACUCCAAUUCCGAGCCCCUCUAGGAUGUUUCUCAAACAGGCAGCUCUUUCUGAUGGCUGGGAGAGAUCCUCCAAGUCUUCCCAUGUCUGCCCAUCAUAGUAUCCUUUGUCUUCCAUGAAUCUGACAUCCCUUGACACUAGGACUCUCCUAGCUGUAGGAUCAUAGCAUUUGUAUCCCUUCUGUGAAGUGGAAUACCCAAUCAUCAUAGCCUUGGUGCUCUUUGCUUCUAGUUUGUUUCUCUGCUCGCCUGGUACAAGAACAUAACACACGCAUCCAAAGGUCCUCAGGUGAUCCAAGACUGGCCUGCUCUUGUUGAGUACCUCAAAUGGAGAUUGAUCUGCCAAGAUCCUGGUUGGUAUCCUGUUGAUCAGGUAGCACGCAGUCAUCACAGCAUCACUCCAAUACCUCUUGGGAACCCCUUUGUGGAACAUCAUGGACCGGGACACCUCCAUGAGAUGUCUGUUCUUCCUUUCCGCAACUCCAUUCUGCUGUGGAGUGUAUGGGCAGCUAGUCUGGUGAAGAAUCCCAUGUUGAGCAAGGUGAUCACGAAAUGCAUGCCCAGUAUACUCUCCACCAUUAUCAGACCUGAAAAUCUUAAUCUUGGCAUGAUAUUGGUUAGUCACAUAGGCUUGAAAAUUUUUAAAUGCAUCAAGGACCCUAUCUUUAGUUUUAAUCAAUGUUAACCAGGUGUAUUUGGAUUUUUCAUCAAUGAAUGUGACAUAAUACUUGUAAUCAUCCCUAGAUAAGCAAGGUGCCGUCCAAACAUCAGAGUGAAUUAAAUCAAAGCAGUUUGCAUAAAGAGUAGAUGAUCUCUGAAAAACAGUCUUACAAUGUUUGCCCAAAAUACAUGCCUCACAAUCAUUAUUUUUAAACAUGACACCUGGUAACAUAAUGCUUAAGGCCCUAACAUGUGGAUGUCCUAGCCUAGCAUGCCACAGAGCAUCAGUACUUAAGGAAGAAACAGAACUAAACGAGAAACAAGAACUAGAAAUAGGUGCAAGGUCUUCAAUCAUGUAAAGAUCCCCCUUGGUUGCUCCUUGCCCAAUCAACUUACUGCUCUUAAUAUCCUGAAACUUAACAUCAUUAGGACUGAAAAUAACAUUGCAUUGAAGAUCAGUAGUGCAUUUCUUAACUGAUAAAAGAUUAGAGGUGAACUCAGGCAUGUAAAAAGCUUUUGAAUCCUUAUUAAACAAGUUCAGUUUACCAAUGCCCCUAAUGGGAAUUCUAUCUCCAUUUGCAAUCAUAACAUGUCCAAGGGCAGGUUCUAUGUCUUUUAUCAGAUUGUUAUCACUAAUCAUGUGAUGAGAUGCACCAGAAUCAAUUAUCAAUGGUUUAUGCAAGCUCCUAGCAGUAUUGGUUCUAGAUGUUUCAUUUUCAGCUUUCAGGCUCUUAACUACUCCUAACAAUCUAUCAGUUAUGCUAGUAUGAGCAGUGGCAGUACAUGAGAUUUUAAAAAUGUCUAACAGUUUAUCAGAGAUACUAGGUAAUGUAUGAGCAGAGUAUGAGUAUCCAAGAGUGUUGCCUAGCAUUUUACCAGACUCCUUGAGGGCUCGGAUGAAAGCCUCAAAGUCAGCCUUGGUGAUCACCUCCUGAGAAGUUAGAGCUCUGCCUUCACUUUCACCCGCCUUGACAUUUGGACUAGCCCCUGAUGAGCCGGCACCACUUGCUUCAGCAGAAAGGUGAGCCUUAGCUUCUCUAUCCUUGUUGAACUUGCUAGGCCUGAGGUGUGGAUGUAGGAUCCAGCACUGACUCUUCUUAUGCCCCUGCCGCUUGCAAUGCUCACAGCUUCCCUCAUACUUCUCAUACUUCCUUCCAUCUCCACGGUACGCUGCCUUGUUUGCUUGCGCCUCUUCUGCUUUAUGAGCCGUGGACAUUCCCUUCUUGCCUCCAAACAACCCAAGAGAGCCUUCCUCCUUCUGAAGUUGUGCGCAUACCUCCUCCAUGGAUGGGAGAGUAGGUGAUCUCAGGAUAUGCUUGAUCACAUCCUGGUAGCUUUCAUCUAGAGUCAUCAAUAGCCCAAACACCUGAUCUUGCUCUCUCCUCUCAAUGAGCGAUUCCUCAUCAGUUGUGUUGGGUCUAAGACUCUCAAGUUCGGACCACAAAGCUCCAAACUUCCCCAUGUGCUUGGUGAGAUCUUCUCCAUCUUGCCUCAAGACACUGAUGGUUUGCUUCAGAUCAAACACCCGACUUAUGUUGGACUUGUUUCCAUACCUCUUAUGGAGCAUGUCCCAAAGGCGCUUAGGAGUCUCAAAGUGCACGUAAGCUUCAAGUAUGGGGAGCUCCAGGGAGGCAUGGAGCACAGACAGCACCAUCAAAUCCUCUUGGACCCAUCUCUUUGCUUCAGCUACCGCAAGAGUCUUCCCGUCGCCUUCUUCUUCAUCUUCUUUGGCCACUGGCUCCGGACCAUCAUCUGUGAUGUGGUUCCACAGCCCUAGCCUUCCAAUGGUAGUCCUCACCAACUGGGACCACAUCAAGUAGUUCGAGCCUCCCUUCAGUGCAACCGGAACCGUCACCAGUUUGCUAAAGUUGGUCGUCUCCAUCUCCUCUUCUUUAUCACACAAGAACAAACUCGCAAAUGAAAAGAAAGGAACAAGGAUCUCUCAAUACCAAAGCCAACCUGGCUCUGAUACCAUAUGAUUUUAGAGAGUAGAAUAGGUAUUGAGAGAUUAAGAGAGAUUUGGUAAGAGAUUAAGAGAAGUUUAGAAGAGAUUGUGAGAGAAAUGGGGAGAUUAAGUAUGAUCCAUGAUGAACAAGAGAGAGACUAGAGAGAGAGUAACAUAACUCGCGUAAAUUCAUUAAUGAGAGAGUGUUUACAAUAUAUAGGAGUGAGACACUAGGGUUUAAGAAGAGACUAAGCAUGUGAGGUCAAGGCUAAGGGAGCCUUUAAUUUGAACCGGACCAAUGAGCCUCUCCACACGCGUGGUCACUAUGCUAAAAGUGAACCUUAUCCUUCCAGCCUGUGCCAGCCUGUAGAGACGCUCUUCCUCUAUCCAUAAACGGUCAUAUGCCUUCUUUGGUCAAGGCAAAACAUGAUCAGACCGUAAACUUCUUCUCGCGGUAACUCUUCUUUACCGCAUGGUCGAUACCGUCUGUACGGCCGUACGGCCAUGGUACGGACCUGUACGGACCGGUACGGACGGUUCUCCCUAAGGCCAAUCCUUCUCCUCUUCUCCACAUCACAACCUCUUCAACCCUGAACAACUCUCCUUAUAUUCCUUAGCUCAUCUCAACAUCUGAGAAACAUGCUAGUGGAAAAUUCUAUCAAGUAAAAGGAUUUCUUUUCUAUGAUAACCGCCUGUGUGUUCCUAGUGGUUCUUUGAGAGAAUUGUAUGUUAGGGAAGCUCACGCAGGAGGGCUGAUGGGACACUUUGGGGUCGCCAAAACACUCUCCACCUUGCAGGAGCACUUCUACUGGCCGAGCAUGAAGAAAGAAGUGGAGCGUGUGUGCUCAAGGUGUGUCGUGUGCAAGCAAGCCAAGUCUAAGGUCCAACCAACAGGUUUGUAUACACCUCUCCCUAUUCCUACUGCACCAUGGAUUGAUAUCUCUAUGGACUUUGUCUUAGGAUUGCCUAGAACUAGGAAAGGAAGAGAUAGCAUCUUUGUGGUUGUUGAUAGAUUUUCUAAGAUGGCUCACUUCAUACCUUGUCAUAAAACUGAUGAUGCAUCUUUGGUAGCUGAUCUAUUCUUUAGAGAAGUUGCUAGAUUGCAUGGUAUGCCUAGGACUAUAGUUUCUGAUAGAGAUACUAAGUUCCUUAGCUACUUCUGGAAAACUCUGUGGGGAAAGUUGGGAACUAAGCUAUUGUUUUCAACUACUUGUCAUCCCCAAACUGAUGGUCAAACUGAAUCAGUCAAUAGGACAUUGUCUACUCUUUUGCGUGCCAUCAUUAAGAGUAACAUUAGGACAUGGGAGGAUUGUUUACCACAUGUAGAGUUUGCAUAUAACAGAGCAGUGCAUUCAGCUACUAAACUUUCUCCUUUUCAAGUUGUUUAUGGUUUUAAUCCAUUGUCUCCUCUUGACUUAUUUGCUUUACCUUUAAAAGAACAAACUAACCUUGAUGGCAAGCAAAAGGCCGAGUUUGUUUUGUCUUUGCAUGAACAGGUCAGGAAGAACAUUGAGGAGAGGACCAAGAUGUAUGAGAGACAGAAGAACAAGGGGCGCAAGGAGCUAGUACUUGAACCGGGUGAUCUUGUGUGGAUUCACAUGAGAAAAGAGAGGUUUCCUGUUGAGAGGAAAUCAAAGUUGCUGCCAAGGAAAGAUGGACCUUUCAAAGUGCUGAAGAGAAUCAACAACAAUGCCUACCAGAUUGAUCUUGAAGGGAAAUAUACAAUCAGUUCUACUUUCAAUGUUUCUGACUUGGAUCCUUUUAUUGCAGAUGAUUUGGAUUUGAGGUCAAAUCCUUUUAAAGGAGGAGGGGAUGGUGUAGCCAUGAGUAGAGACAUUGGAGAGCUGAGUGAGUCUGAUGAGGGAGAGCCAGACUUGAGAAGAGAAGAGCCAGACUUGAGCAGAGAAGAGCCAGACUUGAGCAGAGAAGAGCCAGACUUGAGAAGAGAAGAACCAGACUUGAGCAGAGAAGAACCAAAUGAGCUAGCCAGCUUGUGGAGUGGACCAGUAACCAGAUCAAGAUUGAGAGCACAAGAGGAGAGGCUCCAGGAGAUAGCCAAAACCGUGGGCCUUGGUUCAAGGCAAGGAGAUCAAGAUAAACCAGCUUGUUGGUUUAAUUUAAUUACUUUGUAAGGGUUUGGUUAUUGGGCUUUCAUUUAAUUUAAACCAAAGACAAUUAGGAUUAGAAUUAGAAUUAAACCACCUUGGUUUAGCAUUAGGGUUUUCGAUUUUUACUUUAAGAACAUGGAGGCUGCAGCUUUGUUUUCUUAACUUUCAAUCUAAGAAUUAUUCAGUCAACGUUGUUGUCUUGUCUCUAGCUUUCUCUGUUCAGCUCUAGAACAUUGAUCUCACUUAAAGGAAGGAAUUCCUGUGAAUCCCAUCUUAGACAAUACAAGGUGAUCUUGUGUCUUUGAGUAGCAAACCAUCCUUGGCGCCAACCCACAGGCUCAGGGAGACGUUCAUAGUUCAAAGGAGAGCUAGUAGCCUCUGAGAACACCCUCUAUCCAUCCACCUUCAAGUGAUCCAGAGUUUAAGCCAUACCCAGGCUGCACCAUCACAGUUGCCUCCAAACCUCCUCUCAUCACCAUACUUCCUCUCAUCAGUCUUGUAUGCUGCACGGUUAGCUUGCGCUCCUUCCUCAGCCUUGUUGGCUAGAGCUAAGUCUCCCUUGCUUCCGAAGAGCCCAAGUGACCCUUCCUCCUUCUGAAGUUGCGCACACACUUCCUCCAUGGAUGGGAGAUUUGGCAUCCUCAACAUGUGCUUGAUCACAUCGUUGAAUGGAGGAUCCAACGUCAACAGCAACCCAAACACCUGAUCCUGCUCCCUCCUCUCCAUGAGUAGCUCUUGAUCAUUAGUGCUUGGCCUCAACGAUUCAAGCUCAGACCACAAGGAUCUAUACUUGCCCAAAUGCUUGGUGAACUCCUCUCCAUCUUGUACCAGUGUGUUGAUAGCUUUCUUGAUCUCAUACACACGGUUCAGAUUGGUAACGUUCCCAAAAGUCCCACAGGUGUUUUGGAGUCUUGCAGUAGCUGUAGGCUUCCAAGAGAGGUUCUUCAAGUGAUCCUUGCAGCACAGAUAGCACCAUCAAGUCAUCUUGAAUCCACUUCUUUCCAUCAGCAACCGCGAGCUCUCUUCCACCUUCUUCCUCACUGGCCACUAGUGCUGGAGCUUCAUCUGUGAUGUGACCCCAUAACCCUAGCCUCCCAAAGGCUGUCUUCACAAGCCUAGACCACAACAGGUAGUUUCCCCCACCCUUGAGUGAAAUCGGAACCGUAAUAACCUUGUUUCCUCCCAUCUUGAUUUGCUUGAACUUUGUUUAGAAUCUGAUAUGAUCAUGGACCAGCCAGCUGAUGGAGAUAGAGAUGGCGAGUUUAGAGAUGAACCAGCUGAAGAAGAUGAGGUCUUAACCAUUCCUAAAGGUCCCAUGACUCGAGCCAGAGCUAGGAAACUCAAAGAAGCUAUUGGAGGACUAAUCAGGAAGUCCUUGGAGCAAGAAGAAUGUCUUGAAGGAAGCUUGAUACUUCAAGAUACGCUUAUCACCAUUCAAGCCAUCUUACCAUCAAGUUGAGUAUCAUCUAGGCUAGCAAGCUAUGUGUGCUCUUUUCCUAUCAUUGUUUUUGUCCCAUUGGGUUUUGCAAUGAUAAGUUUUUAACGAGGCCAUAGUCUUGCUAUCUUAUCACCUAGUUGAUACUCUCGGACCAAACCACAUGAAGAACCUUAUGCUAUCUUUAUUUCUAAGUAUUUAUGUCUUUCAUUUUCGAAAACUCUAUCUAAGUUAUGUCUUUAUUUCUACAUUAAUUGGAGGAGCCUGUUCCUUUGAUUUCGAAAUGCUUGGAGCCUGUUCCAAGCCUUUCACUAUAUAUAUGUGUAACUCGGCAACCCUAGCAUCUAUCAAGUUUUCUUUCACUUAAAACCUUUGUGUUUUCUUCUCCCUUGCUUUCACGAGUUAAGAGAGUGUCUGGUGUGUAGUAUCCAGUCUGUUGGUGUGUAAUAUCCAACGCCCAAGGGCUUUAGAAAGGUGUGUCAUAUCCGAUCUAAGUCUAGGAGUAUCAAGGAGCCUUUCCGCAGCCUCUUGUGUCACCAUUCGAUCCACAGCCUUGAUAAACUCGAGUCUUUGAUUCGUUUAUGCAAGGAUCUAUCCAAACCAUCCAGAGAAGGGUCCUAGGAUCUCAUUAAGUGGUAUCAGAGCACUCUGGAAGGGGAGUUUCGAUUUCUCUUUUGUUUGUUCAUAAGAUCUACUCUUGUCGAUUCAUAUUUUGUUUUGAUCAAUCGGUUCUUGUGUGUUUAUUCUCACUUGAUCUGCUUGUUUCAUUAUCAGGAUUGCUAGAUCUCUUUGUUUUCUGUCUCAUAUUGAUAGAUCUAAGAAUUUCGAUCAAGUUUUAAACAAAAACCUUUCACAUUCUUGUCGAUUACGUUAUCAUUUUACUUGAUCCGAAAGUUUCUUGUGAUUGUGUGACUCGAUCUGUUGUUAGAAUCAUAGAUCAGGAUUUGAUUAUCUCAUUUCAUCAUCCGUUGAAUCUGAUCUGUUAUUGUUUCAAUUUCGAAAGUGAUAGAAUUCAAAUCGUCGCGUGUUGAUCAAGUAUCUUCAUUUGCCGCUUUGUUUGAAUACUUUGUUUCCUUAUUUGAAUCUUGAGUUCUGAAUUCUUUUGAACUACUUACUGGUUCAAGUUUUCGUGUAUCAGGAAGCAAUGGGGUCUGAGGAGGAUGAUGAAGCCUUUGUGCGAAGGAAUAAGUUGUUGCAAGAAGCAAUCACCAAACAAGUGAUGGAAGCGAUGGUGAAGUUGCUGGAAGAGAAGUAUGAUCAGAGACCGAAUGAUGGGCAAGGACAAGCAUCUGGUUCAAGACGUGAGCAAAGAAGAAACAGACAAGGUCAGCGUGAGCAUGCUGGAUCGGAAGAGACUGAUAACUUCUAUGAGAGAAGUAGCCAUAGCUCCGGUUCAAGACGUAGCAGUAGAAGAUCUCGACAUGAUCAUGAGGGUCGAAGGCAUAGACGCAAUGAGCUAUCCGGAUUAAAGCUUAAGAUCCCUCCUUUCCAUGGUAAAGCUGAUCCAGAUGCCUAUCUUGAGUGGGAAAAGAAGAUAGAACUCGUUUUCAACUGUCAGCAUUACUCAGAGACUAAGAAGAUUCAAGUAGCUGCUACCGAGUUCAAUGAUUAUGCAUUGAGCUGGUGGGAUCAGUUGGUUACAAACAAGAGGCGCAAUGGUGAAUUCCCCAUUGAAACAUGGGCAGAGAUGAAAGCUGUGAUGCGCAAGAGGUUUGUACCAAGUCAUUAUCACCGUGAUCUUCAUCAAAAGCUGAGACUGCUCACACAAGGAUCAAAGUCUGUAGAGGAAUACUUUCAAGAGAUGGAGUUGCUUAUGCUAAGAGCUUGUGUAUCUGAGGACAGUGAAGCUACUAUGGCACGAUUUCUUGGUGGACUCAACCGUGAGAUACAAGAUAGAGUGGAGAUGCAACACUACUUGGAGAUAGAGGAGAUGCUACACAAAGCUAUCUUGGUGGAGCAGCAAGUUAAGAGAAGAAGUUAUGCGCGUGGCAGCUAUGGUUCCAGUAGAUACCAGACCUCUAAGGAAGAUAAACCGAGCUAUCAAAAGGAGAGCAAGCCACAGCCAAAAGAAGAAUCCAAGUCUAGUAGCAUCUACAACAAAGAUAAGGGUAAAGUGGAAGCUACAAGCUCGCGUGCAAGAGAUGUGAAGUGUUUUAAGUGCCAAGGGCGUGGGCACUAUGCUAAUGAGUGCACCAACAAACGUGUGAUGAUCCUUCAUGCCAAUGGAGAAUAUGAAUCUGCUGAUGAGGAGACAGAGGCCGAAGAAGAUCACAGUUCAGAAGAGGAGUAUGUUGCCAACCCGGUUGCUGGAAGGUUGCUAGUUGCUAGAAGAACCUUGAGUCUUCAAAGCAAGACCGAAGAGAUGGAGCAAAGAGAGAAUCUCUUCUAUACUAGAUGUCUAGUGCAAGGAAAGGUCUGUAGUCUUAUUGUGGAUGGAGGCAGUUGUGUCAACGUUGCGAGUGAGACUAUGGUUAAAAAGUUGGGAUUGAGGGUCCAGAAGCAUCCUAAACCAUAUAGGCUCCAAUGGCUCAAUGAAGAGGGCGAGAUGAGAGUAUCUACUCAGGUUAUGGUUCCCUUAGCCAUUGGUAAAUAUGAAGAUGAGAUUCUUUGUGAUGUGUUGCCUAUGGAAGCUGGACACAUUCUCCUUGGAAGGCCGUGGCAAUCAGAUAGACGUGUGGUACAUGAUGGGUAUGCCAACAAGCACACUUUUGAGUUUAAAGGAAGAAAGACAGUUCUUGUGCCUAUGACUCCUAAGGAAGUUCAGGUUGAUCAGCUCCAACUACAAAAGAAGAAAGAGAUUGAUCUUCCCGCUGAAUCAACAAAGCAACUAAACUUCUAUGCCAAGUCUGGUGAUGUUAAAAGAUCUCUCUGUUCUAACCUUCCUAUUCUUUUGUUUAUCUAUAAGGAAUCACUCUUGACUACUACUAAUAUUGCACCGGAGUAUCCGAGUGAGGUGUCAGCUCUUUUACAGGAAUUUGAAGAUGUAUUUCCUGAAGAUAAUCCAAUUGGUUUGCCACCUAUUCGUGGGAUUGAGCAUCAGAUUGACUUUGUACCAGGAGCUACUCUUCCCAACAGACCAGCAUACAGGACUAAUCCGGUGGAAACCAAGGAGCUACAAAGACAGGUUGAGGAACUAAUGGAGAAAGGCCAUAUCCGUGAGAGUAUGAGCCCAUGUGCUGUGCCCGUGCUCCUUGUGCCUAAGAAAGAUGGGAGCUGGCGCAUGUGUGUUGAUUGUAGAGCAAUCAACAACAUAACAGUGAAGUAUCGCCACCCUAUUCCUAGAUUAGAUGAUAUGCUUGAUGAAUUGCAUGGUUCUAGUGUCUUUUCUAAGAUAGAUUUGAAGAGUGGAUAUCAUCAAAUUAGAAUGAAAGAGGGAGAUGAGUGGAAAACAGCCUUUAAGACUAAGCAUGGGUUGUAUGAGUGGUUAGUCAUGCCUUUUGGAUUAACCAAUGCUCCUAGUACUUUUAUGAGAUUGAUGAACCAUGUGCUUAGAUCCUUCAUAGGCUUGUUUGUGGUAGUAUACUUUGAUGAUAUCCUUGUCUACUCUAAGAGUUUAGAAGAGCAUAUAAAACAUCUUAGGACUGUUCUUGAUGUCUUGAGGAAAGAAAAGCUAUUUGCUAAUCUUAAGAAAUGUACUUUCUGUACGGAUAACUUGGUCUUUUUAGGCUUUGUUGUGAGUGCAGAUGGAGUAAAGGUAGAUCAGGAGAAGGUGAGAGCAAUUCAAGAAUGGCCAAUUCCAAAGACUAUAAGUGAUGUGAGGAGCUUCCACGGCCUUGCUGGUUUCUACAGGCGGUUUGUUAAAGACUUUAGCACUAUAGCAGCUCCCUUGACUGAAGUGAUAAAGAAAGAAGUCGGAUUCAAGUGGGGAGAAGCACAAGAGACUGCCUUCCAAUGCCUUAAAGAGAAGCUUACUCACGCCCCUCUUCUUAUACUACCAGAUUUUAAUAAAACCUUUGAGAUUGAAUGUGAUGCUUCUGGUAUUGGAGUGGGUGCUGUUUUGAUGCAGGAAAAGAGACCCAUAGCUUAUUUCAGUGAGAAGCUUGGAGGCGCCACUCUCAACUAUGCAACUUAUGAUAAGGAGUUGUAUGCCUUGGUGAGAGCUUUGCAGACUUGGCAGCAUUACUUGUGGCCCAAGGAGUUUGUGAUACACACUGAUCAUGAGUCUCUCAAGUACUUGAAAGGACAGAACAAGCUCAGCAAGAGACACGCAAGAUGGGUAGAAUUCAUAGAAACCUUUCCUUAUGUCAUCAAGUACAAACAAGGUAAAGAAAAUAUAGUUGCUGAUGCACUAUCUCGAAGGUAUGUUCUCUUAAACACUCUUGAUGCUAAGCUGUUAGGUUUUGAACAAAUUAAAGAUAUGUAUGAAUCUGAUCCAGAUUUUAAAGAAGCUUAUAACUCUUGUGAGAAAUUUGCUGCUGGACAUUAUUUUAGACAUGAUGGAUUCCUCUUUUAUGAUAAUAGACUGUGUGUGCCUAAUUGCUCUUUGAGAGAUUUGUUUGUUAGGGAAUCACAUGGGGGGAGUCUCAUGGGUCACUUUGGUAUUGCAAAGACUCUUAAAACCUUGCAGGAUCAUUUCUUUUGGCCUCGGAUGAAAAGUGAUGUGGAGAAACUAUGUGAGAGAUGUGCAACUUGCAAGCAAGCUAAGUCUAAAGUUCAGUCUCACGGUUUGUAUACUCCUCUCCCUAUUCCUUAUCAUCCUUGGAACGAUAUAUCUAUGGAUUUCAUUGUUGGAUUGCCUAGAACUAGAACUGGGAAGGAUUCCAUCUUUGUUGUUGUUGACAGGUUCUCAAAAAUGGCACAUUUUAUAGCAUGUCACAAAACUGAUGAUGCAUUACAUGUAGCUAAUCUAUUCUUUAAGGAGAUUGUGCGUUUACAUGGCAUGCCUAGGACCAUAGUUUCUGAUAGAGAUACUAAGUUUCUUAGUUAUUUUUGGAAAACUCUUUGGUCUAAGCUAGGCACUAAGUUGUUGUUCCCCACUACUUGUCAUCUGCAAACUGAUGGACAGACUGAAGUAGUUAAUAGAACUUUAGGAACACUCUUGCGUGCAUUCAUUAAAAAGAAUCUCAAAUCUUGGGAAGACUAUCUGCCACAUUGUGAGUUUGCAUAUAACCAUGCUGUGCAUUCUGCUUCUAAGUUUUCACCUUUUGAAAUCGUUUAUGGGUUCAAUCCCACCUCUCCUUUGGAUUUAAUCCCUUUACUUGAGUGUGAAAGGGUCAGUUUGGAUGGCAAAAAGAAGGCAGAGAUGGUGAAACAACUUCACGAGCAAGCUAGGCUCAACAUUGAAGAGAAAACUAAGCAGUAUGUCAAGCAUGCCAACAAAGGAAGGCGUGAGAUGGUCUUUAAGGAGGGUGAUAAAGUUUGGGUUCAUUUGAGAAAAGAGAGGUUUCCUAAUGAGAGGAAGUCAAAGCUUAUGCCAAGAAUUGAUGGACCUUUUGAGAUCACAAAGAAGAUCAGCAACAAUUCCUACAAGAUUGAUCUCCAAGGUAAGUAUGAUGUGAGUAAUAGCUUCAAUGUUACUGACUUGAUCCCUUUUAUUGCAGAUGAACCUGAUUUGAGGUCAAAUCCUUUUCAAGAGGGAGGGGAUGAUAUGAUCAUGGACCAGCCAGCUGAUGGAGAUAGAGAUGGCGAGUUUAGAGAUGAACCAGCUGAAGAAGAUGAGGUCUUAACCAUUCCUAAAGGUCCCAUGACUCGAGCCAGAGCUAGGAAACUCAAAGAAGCUAUUGGAGGACUAAUCAGGAAGUCCUUGGAGCAAGAAGAAUGUCUUGGAGGAAGCUUGAUACUUCAAGAUACGCUUAUCACCAUUCAAGCCAUCUUACCAUCAAGUUGAGUAUCAUCUAGGCUAGCAAGCUAUGUGUGCUCUUUUCCUAUCAUUGUUUUUGUCCCACUGGGUUUUGCAAUGAUAGGUUUUUAACGAGGCCAUAGUCUUGCUAUCUUAUCACCUAGUUGAUACUCUCGGACCAAACCACAUGAAGAACCUUAUGCUAUCUUUAUUUCUAAGUAUUUAUGUCUUUCAUUUUCGAAAACUCUAUCUAAGUUAUGUCUUUAUUUCUACAUUAAUUGGAGGAGCCUGUUCCUUUGAUUUCGAAAUGCUUGGAGCCUGUUCCAAGCCUUUCACUAUAUAUAUGUGUAACUCGGCAACCCUAGCAUCUAUCAAGUUUUCUUUCACUUAAAACCUUUGUGUUUUCUUCUCCCUUGCUUUCACGAGUUAAGAGAGUGUCUGGUGUGUAGUAUCCAGUCUGUUGGUGUGUAAUAUCCAACGCCCAAGGGCUUUAGAAAGGUGUGUCAUAUCCGAUCUAAGUCUAGGAGUAUCAAGGAGCCUUUCCGCAGCCUCUUGUGUCACCAUUCGAUCCACAGCCUUGAUAAACUCGAGUCUUUGAUUCGUUUAUGCAAGGAUCUAUCCAAACCAUCCAGAAAAGGGUCCUAGGAUCUCAUUAGAAUCUCACAAGAAAGAACUUUUAUCUGAAGCUGAAGAACACAAGAUCUCAAUACCACAGCCAACCUGGCUCUGAUACCAUAUGAUUUUAGAGAAUAAGAAAGGUAUUGAGAAGUCUAAGAGAGAUUCAAGAGAGAUUAGAGUGUUUAAGAGAAAGUGUAUGAGAUUAUCAUGAUGAACUAGAGAGAGAGACUCAUAAACUCGUGUUAGUCUUUAUUAAUCAGAGAGAGGUUACAAUAUAUAGUUCAGGAUACAAGGGUUUCCAAGACUCUAAGGAUAAGGUAAAGCAUGUGAAGUCAAUACAGAAGCUAGACUCGAUUUUGAAUUGAUCCAAUGGCUGUUCUCACAUGUGUAAGGUAUCUUUGCUUUUGCUUUACCUUUCCAGCAUGAGACAGGCUGUCACCGCGAGCCUUAUCCUUCUCCAACGGACUGAUUCUUCUCCAAGACUAAAGUCAUUCACCUUUUACCACUCUAACUCCUCAUUUUAACUUUCACCUUUGGUUAAUGUUUGUGAUCAUCCUUGAUGUGUACGGCCAGUUCCUUCUGUACGGAUUGUACGGCUAUGGCUGAUCACAAACUCUCCCAAAGUCUCAUCCCUUCAUUCCCUUUCAGUCUCUUAACUUCUUGUGCCUUCUCAUACAUUGUACUCAACUCAUUUCAACAUUGGGAUGAAGAAGUUAUCCCACUUUCUAAUCAGGUGAUUCCAGUUUCCCAGUUUGGGAAUAGGACAGGUUCUUCGUCGUUCCAAUCAAACCAGGAUGAAUCACUUUGUAAGAAGCUUGAUUUGGAUACAUAAAGUGUUGGAGAAACACCAGGAAGUUGAAUAAAUCUCAUAGGAGUUGGGAUGAAGAAGUUAUCCCACUUUCAAAUCAGGUGAUUCUAGUUUCCCAGUUUGGGAAUAGGACAGCUUCUUCGUCGUUCCAAUCAAACCAGGAUGAAUCACUUUGUAAGAAGCUUGAUUUGGAUACAUAAAGUGUUGUAGAAUCACCAGGAAGUUGAAUAAAUCUCAUAGGAGUUGGGAUUAAGAAGUUAUCCCACUUUCAAAUCAGGUGAUUCCAAUUUCCCAGUUUGGGAAUAGGACAGCUUCUUCGUCGUUCCAAUCAAACCAGGAUGAAUCACUUUGUAAGAAGCUUGAUUUGGAUACAUAAAGUGUUGGGGAAACACCAGGAAGUUGAAUAAAUCUCAUAGGAGUUGGGAUGAAGAAGUUAUCCCACUUUCAAAUCAGGUGAUUCUAGUUUCCCAGUUUGGGAAUAGGACAGCUUCUUCGUCGUUCCAAUCAAACCAUGAUGAAUCACUUUGUAAGAAGCUUGAUUUUGAUACAUAAAAUGGUGGAGAAACCCCAGGAAGUUGAAUAAAUCUCAUAGGAGUUGGGAUGAAGAAGUUAUUCCACUUUCUAAUCAGGUGAUUCCAGUUUCCCAGUUUGGGAAUAGGACAGGUUCUUCGUCGUUCCAAUCAAACCAGGAUGAAUCACUUUGUAAGAAGCUUGAUUUUGAUACAUAAAAUGGUGGAGAAACACCAGGAAGUUGAAUAAAUCUCAUAGAAGUUGGGAUGAAGAAGUUAUCCCACUUUCUAAUCAGGUGAUUCCAGUUUCCCAGUUUGGGAAUAGGACAGCUUAUCCGUCGUUCCAAUCAAACCAGGAUGAAUCACUUUGUAAGAAGCUUGAUUUGGAUACAUAAAGUUUUGGAGAAUCACCAGGAAGUUGAAUAAAUCUCAUAGGAGUUGGGAUGAAGAAGUUAUCCCACUUUCAAAUAAGGUGAUUCCAGUUUCCUAGUUUGGAAAUAGGACAGCUUCUUCGUCGUUCCAAUCAAACCAUGAUGAAUCACUUUGUAAGAAGCUUGAUUUUGAUACAUAAAAUGGUGUAGAAACACCAGGAAGUUGAAUAAAUCUCAUAGGAGUUGGGAUGAAGAAGUUAUCCCACUUUCGAAUCAGGUGAUUCCAGUUUCCCAGUUUGGGAAUAGGACAGGUUCUUCGUCGUUCCAAUCAAACCAGGAUGAAUCACUUUGUAAGAAGCUUGAUUUUGAUACAUAAAAUGGUGGAGAAACACCAGGAAGUUGAAAAAAUCUCAUAGGAGUUGGGAUGAAGAAGUUAUCCCACUUUCUAAUCAGGUGAUUCCAGUUUCCCAGUUUGGGAAUAGGACAGCUUCUCCGUCGUUCCAAUCAAACCAGGAUGAAUCACUUUGUAAGAAGCUUGAUUUGGAUACAAAAUGUUGGAGAAUCACCAGGAAGUUGAAUAAAUCUCAUAGGAGUUGGGAUUAAGAAGUUAUCCCACUUUCAAAUCAGGUGAUUCCAGUUUCCCAGUUUGGGAAUAGGACAGCUUCUUCGUCGUUCCAAUCAAACCAGGAUGAAUCACUUUGUAAGAAGCUUGAUUUGGAUACAUAAAGUGUUGGGGAAACACCAGGAAGUUGAAUAAAUCUCAUAGGAGUUGGGAUGAAGAAGUUAUCCCAUUUUCAAAUCAGGUGAUUCCAGUUUCCCAGUUUGGGAAUAGGACAGCUUCUUCGUCAAUCCAAUCAAACCAGGAUGAAUCACUUUGUAAGAAGCUUGAUUUUGAUACAUAAAAUGGUGGAGAAACACCAGGAAGUUGAAUAAAUCUCAUAGGAGUUGGGAUGAAGAAGUUAUCCCACUUUCUAAUCAGGUGAUUCCAGUUUCCCAGUUUGGGAAUAGGACAGGUUCUUCGUCGUUCCAAUCAAACCAGGAUGAAUCACUUUGUAAGAAGCUUGAUUUUGAUACAUAAAAUGGUGGAGAAACACCAGGAAGUUGAAUAAAUCUCAUAGGAGUUGGGAUGAAGAAGUUAUCCCACUUUCUUAUUAGAUUUGGUGAUUUAAAGAGUGAUUAAGUCUAAUCUGAGAAUUAAGGAGAUUGGAGAUUAAGAACAAGAGAGAGACUUAAGAGAGAGAGACUCAAAACUCCAUUAAUUAAUACUGAUGAGGGUUUACAAGUAUAUAAAGAGAGAGCAACAAGUAAUUUUGAAAUGUAUAAGCACGUGUAGUCAAAGGACAGGCUGGAACUCCUUUUGAAUCACUUGGCUGUGCUUUCUCACAUGCUUGCACUAGUAGAAAAGCAUCCUCUCCUUUCCAGCAUCAUACAGGCUGUCAAAGUGCUCCCUUAUCCUUCCUUAUCCUCUUUGGUCGAGUUUACUCUCUUCUCUUCACUAAGUUACCUUCUCAUCCCAUCAGAUAACUUCCCAAGUAGUUACUGUGGUUAAACUAAAGUUACCACAGUAAAACUCCAAAGUUACUGUCUGCUCCAACUCUCUUCCUCUCUCAAUAUAUCAACUCUUUAUUCUCUCAUCUCAACACUCCCCCUCAAGCUUGACCAUGUGGAACAAGUCAAGCUUGGAAGGACCAUGAGAUCUCCCUCAUUAAAACCUCAUUAAAGAAAACCCAUUGGGACAAAACCUUAAUGAGGAAAAAGAGUAGAGAUCACAUGAUCAGGAGAGUGUAUAGACUAGCCCUUAGGCGAGAGAUCAAUGAGUCCUAACCUGAUGUGUAUGGACUCCAUUGUCUUUUGCCUUGCUGCCUUUGUGAACACAUCUGCUAACUGAUCCUCACUCCGAGUAUAACAAGGUAGAAUCACCCCAAGAAUCAUCAUCUGCCUCACCUUGUGACAAUCAACCUCAAUGUGCUUUGUUCUCUCAUGAAACACAGAAUUAGAUGCAAUGUGGAUAGCUGCUUGAUUAUCACAAUGCAUUGUCAUUGGCGUUGCUUGAAUAAUCUCCAGAUGCUUCAAAAUCCCUUUUAUCCACACUAGCUCAUUUGUAAGCUUCAGCAUUGCUCUAUACUCGGCCUCAGCACUGGAACAAGACACUACCUUCUGCUUCUUACUCUUCCAAGUGACCAAGUUACCACCAAUGAAUGUACAAUAGCCUGUGGUUGAUCUUCUAUCUGCUCGGUCCCCAGCCCAAUCUGCAUCACAGUAGCCUACAACCUCAGUACUCUUGUUACAUCCCAUCCAUACUCCAAGACCAGUAGUUCCAUUCAGAUACAUCAAGAUCCUUUCCACCAUCCGCCAGUGGUGCUCCUUAGGAACUUGCAUGUGUUGACUGACUUGAUUCACCGCAAAGCACACAUCAGGUCUAGUAAUGGUAAGAUAAAUCAACUUCCCCACUAGCUUCCUAUACAGCUUAGGAUCAUGGAAUGGCUUGCUAUCCUCAAUCUCCCCCUCACGUGGAACCUUGUAACCAUCCUCCAUUGGCAUCUUGGCUGUCUUUCCUCCAUAGGCAUCUGCUCCCUUCAAUAGAUCAAUCACAUACUUCCUUUGAGACAUAAACAAUCCUUCCUUUGAUCUGCAUAUCUCAAUCCCAAGAAAAUACUUCAUUUCCCCCAAGUCUUUAAUCUCAAAGCUUGCCUUGAGAUACUCCUUUGUAGCCUUGAUGCCUUCCUUAUCACUGCCUGUGAUGAUGAUAUCAUCCACAUACACAAGCAAUACCACAAUACCAGAUGAGGUGGUUAGGGUAAAGAGAGUGUGAUCCAAUUCUGACUUUCUGAACCCUCUCCCAUUCAGUGUAGUACUCAACUUGUUGUACCACGCCCUUGGAGACUGCUUGAGACCAUAGAUAGCUUUCCUCAACCUCAACACAUUACCCUUCUUUACUAGAUGUUCAAGACCUGGUGGUGGAUGCAUGUAUACUUCAUCUUCCAACUCUCCUUGAAGGAAUGCAUUCUUUGAAAGAAUAUGAGAUUUGUUUAAGUCAUUAUGAGAAUUAUGAAGAAGGUGAAGAGAAUCGAGAGGGAGAGAGAGAGAGAGAGAAUCGCAUAAGACUAAAGAGAAGAAGAACUCAUUUCCUUGAUUCAUUUUGUGUCUGGUUACAUCCUUAAUAUAGACUACAAGUUGCUAUACUAAGACAAACAAGAAACUAUAAACAAUGUAGACAAAUAGGACAAGCUGAGCUCGGACAGGUGAGGUGAUAGUGACCUCUCGCCAAUCUCUCUCUUCCUUAACCUCACAUGUGAUCUUGCUUUGUUCCUUAGCUUCCAACGGUCACCUUCUUUAUAUUAAACAACUCCAGGGACUUAGGAUGCUCUUACACCCGAUCUCAUGUCAAUGCCUUACCAGUACUUGCCUUGAUAUCCAAGCUAGGUUAAGGGAGAGAUAUCCGUACACCCUUGUACGGAUGCGCCACUUAACUCCUCAUCAAGCAUGCUUCUCUUGAUCUCUACUUCUUGUUUAUACUCUGAAUGUCUUCAUGUCAACACUCCCCCUCAAGCUUGACAGUGGUGAGUGUCAAGCUUGGAAAGGCAUGAAGUAUUCCCUCAUUAAAACCUUUACUUGGAAAAACCACUUGGGAUAAAAACCAAGCAAAGGAAAAAGAGUAGAACACUCCAUGGUGAGGGGAUCAUUGACAUGGAAUGUUUAUGAGUCCAAGCCUAGGAAGGAUGGACUCACAAACUUUGUUGCUGGCUGCCUUGGUGAAUAUGUCAGCUAGUUGAUCUUCACUUCUUGUGUAGCAUGGAAGAAUCACUUGCUGCUCCACUGCUUGUCUCACCUUGUGACAGUCCACUUCUAUAUGCUUAGUCCUCUCAUGGAACACAGAGUUUGAUGCAGUGUGUAUUGCUGCCUGAUUGUCACAAUGCAUAGUCAUUGGCGUGGAGAUCUCUAUGCCCAAGUCCUUUAGCAGUCCCUUGAUCCAUAUGAGUUCACUAGUAAGCUUCCUCAUAGAUCGGUACUCUGCCUCAGCACUUGAGCAAGAGACCACCUUCUGCUUCUUGCUCUUCCAUGUGACUAGGUUUCCUCCAAUAAAGGUGCAAUAGCCUGUGGUUGAUCUCCUAUCAACUCGAUCUCCAGCCCAAUCAGCAUCACAAUACCCAACAACUUCAGUACUCUUGUUGCACGCCAUCCACACUCCUUGACCUGGCGCCUCUCUUAAGUAUCUCAAGAUCCUUUCCACCAUGUUCCAAUGAUGUACCUUAGGAGCUUGCAUAUGUUGGCUCACUUGGUUCACAGCAAAACACACAUCCGGCCUUGUGAUAGUAAGAUAGAUAAGCUUCCCAACCAUUCUUCUAUACCUCUUGACAUCCUCAAAGGGAGUUGCAUCAAACUCCCCCUCACGCAUAACCUUGUAGCCUUCUUCUAGUGGUGUCUUGGCCACUCUUCCUCCAAGGUCUCCUGCCUCCUUUAUAAUGUCCAAAGUAUACUUUCUUUGGGACAGAAACAAUCCUUCCUUUGUUCUGCACAUCUCAAUGCCGAGGAAGUACUUCAGCUCUCCUAGAUCCUUGAUGUCAAAUGCAGUCUUGAGGAAUGUCUUGGUUGAGUUGAUUCCCUCCUUGUUACUACCAGUGAUGAUAAUAUCAUCCACAUAGACUAGGAUUACCACAAUCCCUUGCUUGCUUGUGAGAGUAAAGAGUGUAUGAUCAGCUUGAGACUUCACAAAGCCUCUUCCAUUCAGUGUAGUACUUAGCUUGUGGUACCAGGCUCUUGGUGAUUGCUUUAAGCCAUAGAUAGCCUUUCUGAGUCUAAGAACAUUCCCUGGUUUCACCAUCUCUUCCAUUCCGGGAGGUGGCCUCAUGUAUACUUCAUCUUCUAGUUCACCUUGCAAGAAAGCGUUCUUCACAUCCAUUUGCCAAAGAUCCCACUCUAGGUUCACUGCUAGUGAGAGGACUAUCCGGAUUGUAUGAAGCUUGGCCACUGGUGCAAAGGUGUCUAGAUAGUCUUCUCCAUACACUUGUGUGUAUCCCCUUGCCACCAGCCUGGUCUUCUUUCUUUCUGGUUUCCCAUUUGCAAGAUACUUGAUGGUGUGUAUGAGUCUACUGGUCACGGCUUUCUUCCCUCUUGGAAGCUCUGUCUCAUACCAGGUGUUGUUUCUUUCCAUAGCUCCCAUUUCAUCAUUCACUGAUUCCCUCCAUUCAUCAUUAUCCAUAGCUUCUGCAUAUGUUCUUGGUAUCCAUUCCUGAUCCAAUGAACCCACAAAGGCUUGAUGUUCUUCUGGAUAGUAAGCAAGGGAGCACACGGCACUGGGUGGAUGAGCUAUUGCCUCUGCGUUGAAGUAUACUCUAGUGUUGUUCCAGUUUGAAACCGGUUUCCUCUGUCUUGUGCUUCUCCUAAGCUGCUGCACCUCUUGUACAUCUUCUUGUCCACUUGAUUCGACUCCUCCAGAGUUCACAUCAGUGGUUUGGUCAGCCUCUUGCUGCAUCUGCUCAUCCGGAUCAUGAACAUUAGGAUCAUUGCUCUCAGCUUCAUGAUCAUUGUUGUUCCCCCAUUCAGGAUCAGGAUGAGGAUGUGGGGUUGUGGUAGAAUCUUGUGGAGCUCUCACUGUCUCCGGAACAGCUCCAGUCUCCUGAGUGCCAGCAGAUGGAAACAAACUGAUUCCCAAGUUCUGCAUAAGCCGCCUUAGUGUGUCUGCUCUGUCCGAGGAAGGUUGAGAGAGAUCUUUGAGCUCAUCCCAACUUUUCUUCUCAAAGUAUCCUCUGGAUUCCACAAACUUCACAUCUCUGGAGACUAAGACCUUCCUGGCCUCUGGAACAUAGCAUUUAUACCCCUUUUGGGUAGUGGAAUAGCCAAGAAAAACUGCCUUGGUGCUCCGUGGCUCAAGCUUGUUUCUCUGUCCAUCUGGCUGCAAGACAUAACACAAGCAACCAAAUACACGUAAAUGAUCAAUAGAGGGUUUUCUUUUGUUCAGUACCUCAUAUGGUGUGAGGUCACCAAGGAUUCUGGUUGGAGUGCGGUUGAUCAGAUAACAUGCUGUCAUGACUGCAUCACUCCAGAACCGCUUAGGAACAUUGGUCUGAAACAUCAUGGAUCUGGCCACGCCCAUAAGGUGCCGGUUUUUCCUCUCAGCCACUCCAUUCUGUUGGGGUGUAUAUGGACAGCUCGUUUGAUGAAGUAUUCCAUGCUUGGCUAGGUAAUUUUUGAAACCAUGACUUGUGUAUUCCCCCCCAUUGUCUGACCUGAACACUUUGAUCUUAACAUUGAAUUGAUUAGUUAUGUAAGUUUGGAAAUUAAUGAAAGCAUCUAGCACUCUAUCUUUAGUUGGAAUCAUAGUCAGCCAAGUAUAUUUUGAUUUCUGAUCUAUAAAUGUGACAAAAUACUUAUGAUUCUCCCUAGAUAUGCAUGGUGCAGUCCAAACAUCAGAGUGUAUAAGAUCAAAGCAAUUUUCAUAGAUUGUAGAUGACUUAGGGAAAACGGUCUUGCAAUGUUUACCAAGGAUACAAGCUUCACAGCCAUCAUUUUUAAAAGAAAUAUCAGGUAACAACAAGUUCAGUGCACGGGAAUGAGGAUGGCCUAGCCUAGCAUGCCACAAUACAUCAUGAUCUAAGACAGGAAUUGAACUAAAAGCUGAAGAUAAAUAAGAAGGAGUCUUGGCGUCUUCAAGAAGGUAGAGAUCUCCCUUUGUCACACCUUUGCCAAUCAACUUAAGAGUCUCAAUAUCCUGAAACACAACUUCAUUAGGACUAAAUAUGACAUUACAAUUUAGAUCAGUAGUAGCCCUUUUUACAGAAAGAAGGUUAGAGGCAAAAGUAGGCAUAUAGAAAGCUUUAGAGUCUUUAUCAAACAGCUUAAGUGUUCCUACUCCCUUAAUUGGAAUUUUAUCACCAUUAGCUAUCAUCACAUUGCCUAUCACAGGUUCUAUGUUACUAAUCAAGUUAACAUCACUUAUCAUAUGGUGAGAGGCGCCUGAGUCUAUAACUAAAGGCUUAACUCUCUCAGUUUGGUGAGCUACUUGAUAAGAAGUAAAGAGACCUCUAGGCGUGUGAUAAGUAGCAUUAAGAGAAGUUCCAAGGGUGUUACCGGACUCCUUAAGAGCUUUGAUGAGAGCCUCAAUGUCAGACUUCUUGAUGGUAUCAUCAUGGCCCUGCUUCUUCUCCUCAACAGCUUGAGAGCGGUUGGAUGUUUCUCCAAUGUCACCCGAGUAGUUGGCCCUUCCUUCAGUUCUGAAUUUGGCCGGUUUGAGAUGUGGGUGAAGGAUCCAGCACUUGUCCUUCCCAUGACCCUUCUUCUUGCAGUGGUCACACACCCACACCUUCCUAUCCUCAGGCUUAUAGUAUCCUUUGUUGGCUACUCCGGCAGGUUUGUUCUCGGCUCCUUCAGCUUGAUUGGCCAUCACCAUCUCUCCCUUUCUCUUAAAGAGACCCACUGAGCCGUGCUCCUUUUGGAUCUCCGCACACACUUCAUCAAGGGAGGGAAGCUCCUUGUUCCUCAGUAUGUGCCUGAUUAGGUCAUCAUACCCUGGGUUAAGGGUAAGUAGUAAGGCAAAGACCUUAUCCUGCUCUCUCCUCUCAUGGAGAACAUCUGGGUCGACAGUGGCUGGCCUGAGCAUCUCUAGCUCGGCCCAUAGGGACCGGAACUUCCCAAAGUGAGCAUCAAAGUCUGUGUCCUCUUGACUGAGAGAGUUGAUGGCUCCUUUCACUUCAUACACCUUGCUUAUGUUGGAUUUAUUAGCAUAUACCUUCUUAAGAGUGUCCCACAACUCUUUGGAGGUCUCACAAAAGGCAUAAGCCUCUUGGAGAGAAGGAGCGAGGCUAUUCUGGAUGAUAGACAACACCAUGAGGUCCUCCUGACCUUUCUUCUUCUCCCCAGCAUCCGCAAUCACCACCUCUUUGCCAUCCUCUCCUAGGACAGUCUUCUUGGUGGGGCGGCCUUCUUCAACAACUUCCCAAAGACCUCUGCCUCCGAGAGCUGUUUUGGCAAGUCUUGCCCAUGUCAGGUAGUUAGGACCCUUGAGUGUGACUGGUAUCAUCACCAUCUUUGUGUUCUCAGAGGUAUCCAUCAAGAGAGAAAAGAAAAGAAAAGGUUUCGGAUGGUUUUUGCUAUUUUUGGCAAAUUCUGGAAACAAAGAAUCAAGAACAAGAUGAACUUUGCCAAAAAUAGAAUUUAGAACUCAGAGAAUUUGCGGAAGAAAGAAAAAGGUUUAGGUCUCAAGAGUAAGGUUGCUCUGAUACCAUGAAAGAAUAUGAGAUUUGUUUAAGUCAUUAUGAGAAUUAUGAAGAAGGUGAAGAGAAUCGAGAGGGAGAGAGAGAGAGAGAGAGAAUCGCAUAAGACUAAAGAGAAGAGGAACUCAUUUCCUUGAUUCAUUUUGUGUCUGGUUACAUCCUUAAUAUAGACUACAAGUUGCUAUACUAAGACAAACAAGAAACUAUAAACAAUGUAGACAAAUAGGACAAGCUGAGCUCGGACAGGUGAGGUGAUAGUGACCUCUCGCCAAUCUCUCUCUUCCUUAACCUCACAUGUGAUCUUGCUUUGUUCCUUAGCUUCCAACGGUCACCUUCUUUAUAUUAAACAACUCCAGGGACUUAGGAUGCUCUUACACGCGAUCUCAUGUCAAUGCCUUACCAGUACUUGCCUUGAUAUCCAAGCUAGGUUAAGGGAGAGAUAUCCGUACACCCUUGUACGGAUGCGCCACUUAACUCCUCAUCAAGCAUGCUUCUCUUGAUCUCUACUUCUUGUUUAUACUCUGAAUGUCUUCAUGUCAACAUUCUUCACAUCCAUUUGCCACAAAUCCCACUCAAGAUUCACAGCUAAAGAUAAUACAAUCCUGAUAGUAUGAAGUUUAGCCACAGGAGCAAAGGUCUCAACAUAGUCCUCACCAUAUGUCUGAGUAAAUCCUCUUGCCACCAACCUAGACUUGCGCCUCUCUAUUCUUCCAUCAGGAUGAAACUUGAUUGUGAACACCCAUUUACUAGUCACUGCCUUCUUCCCUUUAGGCAGCUCACUCUCAUACCAUGUUUCAUUCUUAAUCAUGGCUCCGGACUCAUCAGCAACUGAAUCUCUCCACUCCUUUAAAGCCAUAGCUUCUUCAUAUGUCCUUGGAAUAUAGCUCUCAUCCAAGCUUACUGUGAAGGCUAUAUGCUCGUCCGGAAACUCUGCAAAGGAACACAUAGCUUGAGAAGGAUGCUCCACAGCCUGGGCAUUGUAGUACACUCUCGUGUUUACCCAGUUGGAAGCAUCUCUCUUCACCCUUGUGCUCCUCCUUAGCUCCUGAACUUGUUCUUCUUGUGUUUCUUGCCUAUCUUCACUUGAUUGAGCACCACUCUCAUUUGACCCAUCAGGAUCUACUUCCCAAUCUCCACUAGACUGAGUACCACUCUCAUCUGAGCCAGUAGACUCUCUUUGCCCAUCUCCACUAGACUGAGCACCACUCUCUACUUCCUGUGUCACCUCUUGAUUAUGCUGGCCUGAAUCUUCUUGAUUGUGCACUUGCUCAUGAGAUUCAGUUCCAUUCCCCCUCUCAUGAUCAAGAGGAGUUGUUCUUUCAGCUUCACUAGUAGGAUUGGAAGACUCUCUUCUUCCAGAUUCCUGAUCCUGGGAUAACCCUAUCCCUAGCUUCUCCAACAGCACCCUCAGUGUUGUUGCUCUAUCAGAUGGAGCUUGAGACAAAUCCUUCAGAUUUUCCCACUCCUUUUCUUCAUAAUACACUUUGGAUUCAAUAAACUUCACUUCUCUAGAUACCAUCACUCUCCUUGCUUUAGGAUCAUAGCACUUGUAUCCCUUCUGAGUGAUAGAGUAUCCAAUAAACAUAGCCUUAGUACUCUUUGCCUCCAGCUUGUUUCUCUGUUCUCCUGGAGUCAUGACAUAGCAUACACACCCAAAUACUCGUAGGUGAUCAAUAAAAGGCUUGCUCUUAUUCAGCACCUCAAAUGGAGACAGAUUCUUCAGUAUCUUGGUUGGGACCCGGUUGAUGAGGUAGCAAGCAGUCUGAACAGCAUCUCCCCAAAAUCUUUUGGGGCAUUUGCAUGAAACAUCAUCGACCUAGCAACCUCCAUCAAGUGCCUAUUCUUCCUCUCAGCUACACCAUUCUGCUGUGGUGUGUAGGGACAACUGGUCUGAUGCACAAUCCCAUGCUUGGCUAGAUGACUCUUGAAGGCAUUGCUGAUGUAUUCACCUCCAUUGUCUGAUCUCAGUACCUUCACAGUAGCAUUGUAUUGAUUAGAUACAUAUGCUUGGAAGUUCAUAAAAGCUUCUAGCACCCUAUCUUUAGAUGGGAGCAAUGUGAGCCAUGUAUACUUAGACUUCUCAUCAAUGAAUGUCACAAAGUAUUUAUUGCUGUCUCUAGACAUGCAUGGAGCGGUCCACACAUCCGAGUGAACUAGAUCAAAGCAAUGCUCAUAAGUAGUCUCAGAUGUUGGGAAAACAGUCCUACAAUGCUUUCCUAAUAUGCAUGCUUCACAAUCAAGUGAUUGAAUGACAUAUUAGGGAUUAUCAAUUCAAUGGCACGAGCAUGAGGAUGUCCUAAUCUAGCAUGCCAAGUAAUACUAUCAAUCUUCUCAGCAGUACUACUCAAGCAAAUAGAAUCAAAGGGAUUAGAGGUCUUAGCCAAGUCGAGGUGGUAUAGCUGAUUCUUGCUGUCUCCUCUGCCAAUGACUCUCCCAGUCUUCAAAUCUUGAAACUCAACUUCAUCAGGUCUGAAUACUACUUGACAAUCAAGAUCAAUGGUAGCUUUCUUCACAGAUAAUAGAUUUGAAGUGAACUGAGGCAUGUAGAAGGCAGCCGUGUCCUUCUCAAACAAUUUGAGCUUUCCCACUCCUUCUAUUGGGAUCAUGGCACCAUUAGCUAUCAUAACACUCCCUGUUGCAGCCUUGAUCUCACUUAUAAGCCUCCUAUCACUGAUCAUAUGAUGACUUGCUCCAGAAUCAAUCACAAUGGGUUUAGAAGCUCCGGAUUGUAUAGCAUGCUUCUUGCUUGCUGCUAAGGCUUGUACAUGUUCCAUGAACCCUCUCCAUUCCUUCCUGGUGAUGCGAUCAUCAGCUCCACUCCCUUUCUCCUGCUCUUUUAACACCCCACUGUCUUCUACUGAUUCCCCCAUGUAGGCUGAGUAAGAACACUCUCCCACAACUCUCUUUCUACCCUUUCCUAUGUUGAUAGAAGCUUUGGAUAGCAUUCUGCACCUUCUCUUCUUCCGGAAGCCCUCACUCCUACUUCCGGUUAGCCUCCAUGAGCCCUCACUCCUACUCAUGGUUAGCUUCUGGAAGCUCUCACUCCUACUCCCAGUUGGCUUCCAUGAGCUCUCCCUCCUACUCAUGGUUAGCCUCUCAUCAUCUCUCAUUAUCUCAUACGCCCUUCUUAUAAGCCCACAGAUCUCUUCCAUUUCCGGAAGCUGUUCCCCUCUUAGAACCAUCUCUACCAGCCACCCAUAUGAUGACUCCAUGCUCGCCAAGAGCUUCAAGACCGUCUCUUGCUCUUGUGUAGUAUCCCCAUCCACAUGGGAUCUCAACCCUUGUAGUUCAACCCACAAAUGUUGUACCUUCCUCACAUGGUUAUUGAACUCUUCUCUUCCUGGUUUAACUCCACUAAUCACCUUCUUGACUUCAUACACUCUCCUAAGACUGAUCUUGUUCUCAUAAACAUCUUCAAUCUUCUCAAGCAGUGUACUUUCUUCAAGACUAAAGCAAUUUCCACUUGUUUCUCUUGCUGUCUGAUCUUUCUCAGCAGCUUUACCCUUCAAAGACUCUUCCUUCUCAUGGUUUCUCCAUACUCCACACCUCUUCAGAGUUGUUUUCAUUUGUGAGAACCACCCCCACUCAUUCCCUCUCUCUUCCUUCUCUUCACGCCUUGCUGAACCACAAGCUAGACCCAUCUUCUGACCUUGUCAAACACCUAAAGGGACUCCCUUGAAGCUGACUCUCCAAAAGAAACACCAACAGACACAAACUUGACUUUUAAAGGAUCUAGCUCUUGAAAAAACUCAAGAACUCUCAAGAACACUCAAGAACACUCAAGAACAUUUAGAAAAACGAAAUCACUCUCUCCUUUUAAAGGAACCUGGCUCUGAUACCAUAUUAGAUUUGGUGAUUUAAAGAGUGAUUAAGUCUAAUCUGAGAAUUAAAGAGAUUGGAGAUUAAGAACAAGAGAGAGACUUAAGAGAGAGAGACUCAAAACUCCAUUAAUUAAUACUGAUGAGGGUUUACAAGUAUAUAAAGAGAGAGCAACAAGUAAUUUCGAAAUGUAUAAGCAUGUGUAGUCAAAGGACAGGCUGGAACUCCUUUUGAAUCACUUGGCUGUGCUUUCUCACAUGCUUGCACUAGUAGAAAAGCAUCCUCUCCUUUCCAGCAUCAUACAGGCUGUCAAAGUGCUCCCUUAUCCUUCCUUAUCCUCUUUGGUCGAGUUUACUCUCUUCUCUUCACUAAGUUACCUUCUCAUCCCAUCAGAUAACUUCCCAAGUAGUUACUGUGGUUAAACUAAAGUUACCACAGUAAAACUCCAAAGUUACUGUCUGCUCCAACUCUCUUCCUCUCUCAAUAUAUCAACUCUUUAUUCUCUCAUCUCAACAUUUCUAAUCAGGUGAUUCCAGUUUCCCAGUUUGGGAAUAGGACAGAUUCUUCGUCGUUCCAAUCAAACCAGGAUGAAUCACUUUGUAAGAAGCUUGAUUUGGAUACAUAAAGUGUUAGAGAAUCACCAGGAAGUUGAAUAAAUCUCAUAGGAGUUGGGAUGAAGAAGUUAUCCCACUUUCAAAUCAGGUGAUUCCAGUUUCCCAGUUUGGGAAUAGGACAGCUUCUUCGUCGUUCCAAUCAAACCAUGAUGAAUCACUUUGUAAGAAGCUUGAUUUUGAUACAUAAAAUGGUGGAGAAACACCAGGAAGUUGAAUAAAUCUCAAAGGAGUUGGGAUGAAGAAGUUAUCCCACUUUCUAAUCAGGUGAUUCCAGUUUCCCAGUUUGGGAAUAGGACAGGUUCUUCGUCGUUCCAAUCAAACCAGGAUGAAUCACUUUGUAAGAAGCUUGAUUUGGAUACAUAAAGUGUUGGAGAAACACCAGGAAGUUGAAUAAAUCUCAUAGGAGUUGGGAUGAAGAAGUUAUCCCACUUUCAAAUCAGGUGAUUCCAGUUUCCCAGUUUGGGAAUAGGACAGCUUCUUCGUCGUUCCAAUCAAACCAGGAUGAAUCACUUUGUAAGAAGCUUGAUUUGGAUACAUAAAGUGUUGGAGAAUCACCAGGAAGUUGAAAAAAUCUCAUAGGAGUUGGGAUUAAGAAGUUAUCCCACUUUCAAAUCAGGUGAUUCCAGUUUCCCAGUUUGGGAAUAGGACAGCUUCUUCGUCGUUCCAAUCAAACCAGGAUGAAUCACUUUGUAAGAAGCUUGAUUUGGAUACAUAAAGUGUUGGGGAAACACCAGGAAGUUGAAUAAAUCUCAUAGGAGUUGGGAUGAAGAAGUUAUCCCACUUUCAAAUCAGGUGAUUCCAGUUUCCCAGUUUGGGAAUAGGACAGCUUCUCCGUCGUUCCAAUCAAACCAGGAUGAAUCACUUUGUAAGAAGCUUGAUUUGGAUACAUAAAGUGUUGGAGAAUCACCAGGAAGUUGAAUAAAUCUCAUAGGAGUUGGGAUUAAGAAGUUAUCCCACUUUCAAAUCAGGUGAUUCCAGUUUCCCAGUUUGGGAAUAGAACAGCUUCUUCGUCGUUCCAAUCAAACCAGGAUGAAUCACUUUGUAAGAAGCUUGAUUUGGAUACAUAAAGUGUUGGAGAAUCACCAGGAAGUUGAAUAAAUCUCAUAGGAGUUGGGAUUAAGAAGUUAUCCCACUUUCAAAUCAGGUGAUUCCACUUUCCCAGUUUGGGAAUAGAACAGCUUCUUCGUCGUUCCAAUCAAACCAGGAUGAAUCACUUUGUAAGAAGCUUGAUUUGGUUACAUUAAGUGUUGGGGAAACAACAGGAAGUUGAAUAAAUCUCAUAGGAGUUGGGAUGAAGAAGUUAUCCCACUUUCAAAUCAGGUGAUUCCAGUUUCCCAGUUUGGGAAUAGAACAGCUUCUUCGUCGUUCCAAUCAAACCAGGAUGAAUCACUUUGUAAGAAGCUUGAUACAUAAAGUGUUGGAGAAUCACCAGGAAGUUGAAUAAAUCUCAUAGGAGUUGGGAUUAAGAAGUUAUCCCACUUUCAAAUCAGGUGAUUCCAGUUUCCCAGUUUGGGAAUAGAACAGCUUCUUCGUCGUUCCAAUCAAACCAGGAUGAAUCACUUUGUAAGAAGCUUGAUUUGGUUACAUUAAGUGUUGGGGAAACACCAGGAAGUUGAAUAAAUCUCAUAGGAGUUGGGAUGAAGAAGUUAUCCCACUUUCAAAUCAGGAGAUUCCAGUUUCCCAGUUUGGGAAUAUGACAGCUUCUUCGUCGUUCCAAUCAAACCAUGAUGAAUCACUUUGUAAGAAGCUUGAUUUUGAUACAUAAAAUGGUGGAGAAACACCAGGAAGUUGAAUAAAUCUCAUAGGAGUUGGGAUGAAGAAGUUAUCCCACUUUCUAAUCAGGUGAGUCCAGUUUCCCAGUUUGGGAAUAGGACAGGUUCUUCGUCGUUCCAAUCAAACCAGGAUGAAUCACUUUGUAAGAAGCUUGAUUUGGAUACAUAAAGUGUUGGAGAAUCACCAGGAAGUUGAAUAAAUCUCAUAGGAGUUGGGAUGAAGAAGUUAUCCCACUUUCAAAUCAGGUGAUUCCAGUUUCCCAGUUUGGGAAUAGGACAGCUUAUUCGUCCUUCCAAUCAAACCAUGAUGAAUCACUUUGUAAGAAGCUUGAUUUUGAUACAUAAAAUGGUGUAGAAUCACCAGGAAGUUGAAUAAAUCUCAUAGGAGUUGGGAUGAAGAAGUUAUCCCACUUUCUAAUCAGGUGAUUCCAGUUUCCUAGUUUGGGAAUAGGACAGGUUCUUCGUCGUUCCAAUCAAACCAGGAUGAAUCACUUUGUAAGAAGCUUUAUUUUGAUACAUAAAAUGGUGGAGAAACACCAGGAAGUUGAAAAAAAUCUCAUAGGAGUUGGGAUGAAGAAGUUAUCCCACUUUCUAAUCAGGUGAUUCCAGUUUCCCAGUUUGGGAAUAGGACAGCUUCUCCGUCGUUCCAGUCAAACCAGGAUGAAUCACUUUGUAAGAAGCUUGAUUUGGAUACAAAGUGUUGGAGAAUCACCAGGAAGUUGAAUAAAUCUCAUAGGAGUUGGGAUUAAGAAGUUAUCCCACUUUCAAAUCAGGUGAUUCCAGUUUCCCAGUUUAGGAAUAGGACAGCUUCUUCGUCGUUCCAAUCAAACCAGGAUGAAUCACUUUGUAAGAAGCUUGAUUUGAAUACAUAAAGUGUUAGGGAAACACCAGGAAGUUGAAUAAAUCUCAUAGGAGUUGGGAUGAAGAAGUUAUCACUUUUAGUGAUGUUAAGAGUAAUCUGAGUGUUUAGAGAAGAUUAGAAUAAGUUUAGAGAAGAUUAAAGUAAAAAUGAGAUUAAGAGUCUAGAGAGAAAACUUUGAGAGAGACUAAGAGAGACUCAUAACUUGCUUACUUUGAUUAAUGACAUGAGUUUACAAUAUAUAGAGAGGCAACAUUAGAGACUAGGGUUUAGGAAACUACACUAUUACAAGGGAUAAGCUUUUGCUUUAAUUCAAAUGAUCCAAUAAGCUUCCUCCUCAAGGAUAAGGUUCCUUUUGCUUUAUGCCAACCGUGGACAGGCUGUCAUGUGCGCUCCCUUCUUCCUUUUGCAACAGUCUGAUCAGAUAAGGAUAAGCAAGGCUUCUUCUCAACACACAAAGUUACCUAAGUAACUUUGGUUCACCGAGGUCAAGUUACCUUGCCCAAUCUGUACGGCCUAGUACGGCUUCUGUACGGCCUUGCCCAAUCCUCUCCUAACUCCAUUUCCCUUAGUUCCUCAAGUCAUCUCUUCUCAUAUACUGAACUCAUCUUAACACUCCCCCUCAAGCUUACCUUUGUGAAAGUCUAAGCUUGGACAGCCAUGAGAUCUUCCUCAUUAAAAACCUCACUAAGGAAAACCCAUUGGGAUAAAACCUUAAUGAGGGAAAAAGAGUAAAGAUCUCACAGCCAAGGAGAUCAGCUCCUUCUCUUCCCAAGAUCUAUGAGUCCCAAUCUAAUGUGAAUGGACUCCAUAGUCUUUUGUCUUGCCGCCUUGGUGAACACAUUAGCCAACUGAUCUUCACUUCUCGUAUAGCAAGGUAAGAUCACUCCAAGCACAAUCAUCUGUCUCACCUUGUGGCAAUCAACCUCAAUGUGCUUGGUUCUCUCAUGGAACACCGAGUUGGAUGCAAUGUGAAUGGCAGCUUGAUUGUCGUAAUGCAUUGUCAUUGGAGUGGCUUGAUCAAUCUCCAAGUGCUUCAAGAUGCCUUUGAUCCACACCAACUCGUUUGUGAGCUUCAGCAUAGCUCUAUACUCAGCUUCUGCACUUGAACAUGACACCACCUUCUGCUUCUUGCUCUUCCAAGUCACCAAGUUGCCUCCAAUGAAUGUGCAAUAUCCUGUGGUUGAUCUCCUGUCAGCUCUAUCUCCUGCCCAAUCAGUAUCACAAUAGCCCACCACUUCUGUGCUUCCAUUGCACCCCAUCCAUACUCCUUGAUCCGGCGAGCCAUUCAGAUACAUCAACAGCCUCUCCACCAUGCGCCAGUGAUGUUCCUUGGGAAGCUGCAUGUGUUGGCUCACCUGAUUCACAGCAAAACAUAUAUCAGGCCUUGUGAUGGUAAGGUAAAUCAAUUUGCCAACAAGUGUUCUAUAGAGUUUAGGAUCAUGAAAUGGCUUGCUGUCUUCAAUCUCCCCCUCUCUUGGUACUUUGUAGCCAUCCUCCAUUGGUAUCCUUGCUGUCUUGCCUCCAUAAGCACCUGCACCUUUCAAAAGAUCAAGUGUAUACUUCCUUUGGGACAUGAACAAACCUUCCUUGGAUCUACAAAUCUCAAUUCCAAGAAAGUAUUUCAUUUCUCCCAAGUCUUUGAUUUCAAACAUAGACUUUAGAAACUCCUUGGUUGCUUUGAUACCUUCCUUAUCACUCCCAGUGAUAAUGAUAUCAUCCACAUACACAAGGAGAGCAACCAUACCUGAGGGUGUCGUGAGUGUAAAGAGAGUGUGAUCCAAUUCUGACUUCUUGAAGCCUCGACCAUUCAGAGUUGUGCUCAACUUGUUAUACCAAGCUCUUGGUGAUUGCUUCAACCCAUAAAUGGCUUUCUUUAGCCUCAGUACAUUCCCUCUCUUCACUAGAUGUUCCAGACCUGGUGGAGGAUACAUAUAGACUUCAUCCUCAAGCUCUCCUUGUAGAAAUGCAUUCUUUACAUCCAUUUGCCACAAUCCCCAUCCAAGGUUCACAGCCAAGCUUAAAACAAUCCUAAUGGUGUGUAGCUUGGCUACUGGUGCAAAUGUCUCAAUGUAAUCCUCUCCAUAUGUCUGAGUGAACCCUCUUGCUACUAGUCUAGUCUUCUUCCUCUCAAUCGACCCAUCAGCCUUGUACUUGAUUGUAAAGAUCCAUCUACUACACACAGCCUUCUUCCCUUUUGGUAGUUCACUCUCAUACCAUGUAUCAUUCUUUAUCAUAGCUCCUGUCUCAGCUCCUACUGAUUCCUUCCACUCCUUAUCCUCCAUUGCCUCUUCAUAGCUUCUUGGAAUGUGAUUCUCAUCCAAGUUUACCAUGAAUGCGCAAUGUGCUUCUGGAUAUUGAGCAAAAGAACACACGGCCUGAGUAGGAUGCUCCACAGCUUGGGCAUUGUAGUACACUCUUGUGUUUACCCAACUGGAAGGAUCUUUUCUCAGCCUUGUACUUCUUCUCAACAUUGGCCCUUCUUGCGCCAUCUCUUGUUCUUCUUCUUGUGGCAACACACUUGUUUCAGAUCUUUCUUCUCCUAGCUGACUUGCUUCAGCUCCUUCUUCCCUUAGCUGACUGUCUUCAGCUUCUUCUUGUUGAUCAUUUGAUUCCACAGCUUGAUCAUGAGAGCCAGAACUCUCUUCUCUACUUGUCUCUCCACGGUUUUGGAGUUCUUGUUUCAUUCCCCCCUCAUGCUCAAGGUUGGAAGUCUGAUGAUCCGGUGCUGGAGUAGUGCUUCUCCCCCCCUGAUGUCCUUGAUUCAUGUUGAUUCCAAGCCCUUCUAGGAUAAUCCUCAAGGUUUCAGCUCUAUCAGAUGUAAGAUCCUUCAAAUCUUCUUGAAUCUGUUCCUCAUAAUAUCCUUUUUCUUCAACAAACUUCACUUCUCUAGAUACUAACACUCUCCUUGUGUUAGGAUCAUAGCACUUGUAUCCUUUCUGACUUGAUGAGUAUCCAAUGAACAUUGCCUUUGAACUCUUAGCUUCUAGCUUGUUUCUUAUCUCUCCAGGCACCAUCACAAAACACAAACACCCAAAGAUCUUGAUAUGCUCUAGUGAAGGCUUGUACUGAUUCAGUACUAUGAGAUUUUAGAGAAUCAGAUUGGGGUGUGUUAAGAACAGCCAUAAAGGCAAGAUUAGAGCUUGAUAGGAUGAAGAAGAGGUCUGAUGAAACUAGUGUAAGCUCAGAUCAGAAACAAGAGAAUAAGAGAGAUUAGGAGUUUAAGUGUAUAAGAAAGGGAAAGAUUAAGGGAUUCUGAUCCAAGAACACUUUGUAUUAUGAAGGAGGAAGGGAAAUCCCCCUCUCUCUCUUAGAGAGUUACAAUCUGUCACAAACAGCUUAUUUAUAAGCUUUACAAGUUUUUAAAACCAGAAACCUAAAUCUAAUGGUUCCUAAUGACUCUUGAAGGAUGGAUGGCUGAGAUGAGGAGUUGGAUCAGUCCCAAUCUGCGUGAUACAUCUUGAUUGGUGGAGAGAGAGCUGGUGCCUGAUUGGAUGAGGAGGCUUGGCUCUGAUUGGUGCUUCUAAGGCUCCUCUGAAUCUUUCCUUGUAUCUGUCCAGAUACAUAGUCAAGGCUGGUCUUUCCUUUACAGCAACAGCCAUGUCUUGGACCAAAGUAGCCAAUCAUCACCAAGAGAGCUCCCAUUGGUCGCUUGCUUCCAUGCUAUCCACAAGGCAUCUUCUCUUGAUGCUCUUUUGAUUCCACACGACCAGAUCAUGCUUAUCAGCCCUAAGUAUGCACAAAGCCUCUAGGAGACGUUCUGAUCACGCCCGAACUUUGCACAACUUGGCCCAGACUUUGCACAAUCCCAAAACACC